CGGUCGCCCUGGGCAGUCAGCCUAGCAGCCAGUACAGCAGCAACGGUAUCAUCAUCAUCAGUGUUUCUAUUUGACGAAAACGGUGUUUACUGUCACGGCAGGCGGCUUUGUCAUAUAAGAAGAUUAUCAUAGGUACUAUUUAAACGAAAACUUACUAAUAUGUACUACAGUGUGACUUGAACUGCUCUUAGCUGCAUAACAACGCCUAUUUCCACCACAUGAAGUCGUCGUCUGAGAUAACCUGUUUUGCUAUAAAUGAUCACUGGUAAUCUGUGAAGGAACAUGUUUUCUAUGUAUCGAGUUAACUUUCCUCAAUAACAUACUCUAGAUUCUCCCUCAGAAGAACCUUCCUUCCUUCGUCAGUUUUGAUUAGCAUCAGGAUUUUGCGAAAUACAUGUUGUUUAAUGGUACUACGUGGAACAUUACCAAUAGCAACUCUUAAAGUGUAUGAGACAACAGUGAAUUAUUGUAUGUGUAUUUAACAAAUUUAAACAAGUAAAAUUUGUUUUGAAUAUUAGAUUCAUACAUCAGCAGUGACAUAUAGUUGUAGUCCUUCAAGACAUUGUACUUAAUUUUUAACAGAUUUAUUCGGUAAUUAUUUGUAAACAAUUUUAUGUUAAGAGUUGUGAAUUGAACACAUUGUCAUUACAGAACAGGACAGGACAUAAGGCUAAAAUGAAUCCAGGACAUUCUUUAGAAUAUCCUUUGAAAAGUGAAACUGAAGGUGCAUUAUCACUACCUUCCAUAAAUCAAGAAAACAGCAACUUGGCUGCCUUUAGUGGAACCAGUGAUGGAGAAUUUUUGUUUCUGGAUUCAUUGAUGGACAUCAAAAUAGAGCCAGAGGAAUUCUGUGAGUCUAAUGAAGAUGAUGAAUAUUCAUACGAAAUGAAUUCAAUAGUGAAUGAAAAACAUCCACAAACUUGCAAAAAGGAAGUAAAACAAGAAAGAAGGAUCUGUGACAAUGGAGAGAAGUCUUUCGUAUCCACUGACUGUGAAAAAGCAUUUUACAAGAAAAUUAAUCUUACAAAUGAUAUCACAAAUCCUACCAGAGAGAAAUUCAUAUGCAAUGACUGUGGGAAAACAUUUUCCUUGAAAUGUAAUCUUAUAGCUCAUAUGAGAAUCCAUACAGGAGAGAAGCCAUUCAUGUGCAAGGAAUGUGGGAAAGGA